GGCCUGGCAGGUGCGCUCCGACGCCGGUCUGGUGUACGGGUUGCACUCCGCCUCUCUGGCUGUUUUGUGUGUUCCGAUCUGACAGCCCACAUGCCUCUGCUGCACGCCUUGGCCACAGGACACGGAGCACUAAGAAGACAGAGAAUCGUUUGAUAAUUUCUCAGAAGACAAAUUAAGACCCGGUAAGGUUCAGUUAUAUCAUAUAGGCCAUUCUGGCUUCUGAUUUUCCUAAUGUCAAAACCAGCUUUGAAAUAACACCUCCGGAAGUUUCAACUCGCAUUAAAGGCACUGCCAUGUACAACACCCCCUCCCCCUGAAUAAUGCAUCGACAAUAAUCUUUGCUCAAAAUGAAGCGCACUGCAUCAAAGCUCAUUCUCUGUGUUCACCCUUCCUUCCUGCACUGGCUCACUGGGGCAACAAUUUGCAUACAGAGGCAGCCAGGCUUGCUGGGUGCAUUCUGAGAGAUUUGUGUAGCAAACUCAUGAAUAAAACAGCAUCAGAAAGACCUCUGAGUUACCCUGGAGGUGGUGUUGGGGUGGAGGGGGCGCCCGUGUGUUUAACUUUGCAGCCGUGUUCAGUAUACCGUUUAGUUUGCUUGCACGGGAAGACACCUUGCAGCCUCUAUGAAUGCACUCCCCCGCCACAGCCACAAUUCCAGCCUGGCAGGCUAUUUAGUGCAGAUUUGAAAGUUCAUGUUUUUCGUUCUGAACUACUGAGUUGGGAGCUUCUUGUCAUCUCUCUCUAUAUAACGCUUGUGUGCAGCACUCAUCAACGUAUAGGGAAUGCGAUGCUUGCUUCCUUAGAUGAAAAUCUCCUAUAUGGAACUUCAGACAUUCGUGGAAUCAUAAGAUAUACUUGAAAGCCUAAGAUUUUUACUUAGUUUCUUCCAGUAGGACUGGUAAAAUAAUGGUGCCCACAAUUUUAAGGGUAGGGCCAGCUUGGAAAGCAACUAUAUACCUACUUUAAUGAAAAUAAUAGCAAUAAUCAUGACAAACUUUGACUAAGCAUUUACCACUACAUGCAAAUGUCUAUAUUUGUGUUUCUCAGUGGAAUAAUUUGUUGUGGGGACAGCUUAGCAGCAUCCUUGGUUUGUACCUAAUGGAUACCAGUUGCAAUUCCCCUCUUUCCAAGUUGUGAAAACUCAAACUAUCUCCAGACAUUGCCAAGCUCCUAUGGGGAACAAAACCCACCCCCAGGCGAGAGCUUAAUUCUAUGCUAAGCAUUACAGAAAGAAAUGUCUUUUGUACUUCCUAAUAUGCCUUGCAGGUAGAUAAUCCACAAACAAAGCAAAGAACAGAGAUGAUCAUCGCAUUAGCUCAAGUCAAAGCAAAACCAAAAAAUAAUCAAAACACACACAGUCAUAAGCAAUGUAGCAUAGCUACUUUGGAUUAGAAUUUGGUUCCCACCUUAUAAAUUUGGUGCUGAUACGAUGUCCUUUGUACAAAGUCAGCAAGAGUACAGGUGGGAAAGCCUAUGCUUAAACAAUACAGCAUCAGUGCUUUUGGUCCAAACAAAAAUAAGAUAUGAAGAGCAUAAAUCAUGAAAGCAACUCAAUAAAGCGACCUCACAAAGUUCACAAAAAAUGGAAUUGAAAAAUACUAUUUUAAUGCACUUUGGAAAUCCAUGCAUUGCUUUUUCAUAAUACAAAUUUCCACGAACUUUGUGAAGAACCCUCAUAUUUUCCACCCCUGACCCCGUGCACAUGCUUCCUGAAUGUCUCAAAGGACACAAGCCAUGCAUUAGUUACAUUUCCCCAUGAAACACUGCACGAGUAUUUCAGAAUCACACACCACAAUUAACAUUAUGAUUACAAGAAAAGUCUUCAAGAAGAAUGGCUGGUAGAUUCAUAAUAUCACUGGACAAUUUCCAUUUUGGUGCUUAGCAAUGAAGAUCUUUUAAAAAUUAGGUGUUUUUUUUUUUCAAUUGAAUCUAAGACAUUACUGAUUUCAAGAUACAUUAAUAUAUUUUGUAUCAUUAAGAGAAAACCACAAGGGCUGUUAAUUAAGCCACAGCAUUAAAAAUGUUUCCAUAAGUACAGGACAGGUUUAAAAAUUUUUACUUGAGUGCUUUUGUUUCAUGCGAAUACAGAGCCUUCACAUACGUAAGGCUGAAUCAAGAAUUACAAGCUGGCGUGGGCAUUUGGCUUAGCUGUUAAGCGACUGGUUAGGACCCAUGUCCCACAUGGGAGUGCCUGGGUACAGUAAGGGCAUGCAGCUCCUAACUCCAGCCUCCUGUCAAUGCAGAUGCUGGGAGGCAACAGCAAUGGCUCGAGCAUUUGGGCUCCUGCCAUCCAUGUGGAGGCCUGGACUGAGUUCCUGGCUCCCAGCCUCAGCCCCAGCCGACUGCAGACAUUUGGGGAGUGAACCAGAGGAUGACAACUCUUUCUCUCGCUGUCCUUUUGUUUGUUUGUCUCUUUUUCUGUCUCUAUGACUCUCAAAUAAAUUCUAAAAAAAAAAUUAGAUACUGAUCUCUGUCUUAAGAUUUUGUGAGCAUCCCUUAGCUUUUGAGAAAAUAAUUAACUUCUGAGAAACGUAAAAAACAAAUCUUUAAAAGAUCAGUAAGGAUUUUUCCUUAAAGCUGAUUUCGUUUACAAAUUUAAGAAUUCAAUACAGAAAUGAAACAUUCCAUUUGAAACCUCAAAACACCAAGUUUUGGGGAAAGGCUAGGAAAAUUAUUAUGGCUCGAGGAGUGUCCUAUCCCAAUUAUUCUCUUUGUCUUAUUAUCAUCAGGCAUUUUGACAUGAUGAGAAAUUGCACUAAUUAUUCUUCCUACCUUGAAGCCUGGAUGACCGAAUAUAAGUGAGAAAAGAGAUCUUCUAAAUAUUGUUGCAAAUGGACAAUCAUUACUCGUGCUUAAUAUCACUGCCUUAGGGAUAGUCCUGUUAACGACCUGAUCAUUAGUAAGCCAAUAUUCUUUAAUUAUUCAGAACACCUUUCUCCAUCAACAGUUGGUCUGAUUAUUGUCAGGUACACUUCCAAGCUGAACCGAAUUUCACCCGCUUUUACAAUUCAUUUCUAUAAACCAAAUCAGGACGUGAUAAAGCCAGCCACAGACCAUUACAUAAAUGUGUUUACUUGCAUUUUUCUACAAAGGUGACUUUUCUAAGCAAUCAUUUUGAGCAGGUGUGAGUUUUUCUGAUAAUCCUAUUACCUUAUGUUAGCAGAAAACCCCCAGGGUUUAAACCUAAUCACCCCAGCUUUGUAAGCAAUUUGAGGUUUCCCCUUAAGAUCACAGGAUGCUGGAAUAAAACUCCGUCUGUUUUUACCAAUAAAGAGCAAAAGAUUCUUAUCAGCCUUUUUUUAGUGAUUAAAUUGCCCUUUAAAAUGAGCAUCAUUUGCAUGCUCUCUACUUAAUAUUCAGGCGGGAAAUGCAAAUAGAUGAGUAGAGGCCAAAAAACAUAAAGAAAAGUAACAGAGCAUGAAAGUGCAGAAGAGGACAAGCUAAUUAGUGCGGUAUCUUAAAUAACAUUAGCUGCAGGCUUUCACAGAAUCAAACGGCUCCAGAAAUAAAAGGGCUGCAAGUUAAAAGAUGGCAGUGGUCACUUGGAGAAGCUAUUAAGAGGCAAGAUCAGUAUGAAACACUGCCUUGAAUGUGGUCACCUGGAGAAGCUAUUAAGAAGCAAGACUAGUAUGAAACACUGUCGUGAAUGUGACCCUUAAGGAAGCCAGAGAGGGAGCCCGCUCUGGCUGGGUGUGGAUUCUCUGAUUAUUAAAAUAAACAAACAACCCUUCCCACGCAAGUUCCAUUACAAUGAAGGCACUGGGAGGGAUGAGACUACUGCACUAGGAAAGGAUGCACCACGUCUGAUGUUUCGUUCAUGUGGAAUAUGACUCUGUAUGUGUGCACAGGCGCCAACGAUGCCGGCUCAGGGCAUUUCAGAAAACCCCAGGUUCCUGGAGGAAUUUUCUAUUGGUCAUGUUGAAAUGGAGGAUUCUCACAUCCUCCCCAUGUUAACUUAGCUCUGUCCAGACACCUUUGGGGCUUAGGAAUCCAGAUUCAGGCUCUAGAAGAAUCAAUCGGACAGGCUGCCCGACCUGGAACCUAAUUUUCCAUUGAUUCUCAAGAGUCUCCAUUGCAUGGAAGGACCAGGAAUACAGUAAACACAUCACUGAAUCAGCUCCCUGAUCAGCAAAAAAUUCAGAAUACAGUAAAAGAAGUUGAGCCCUAUUACUUUCAAGUUAGUACCUCCAAGCAAGCUGAACAACCAGGUGUGGGGUUACACCCCACUGUAAGGAGUAGACAUGAAUGACUUCAGUUCACUUAUUCAGUGUUUAUAGGUACCCAGAAGCUUUUAAAGUUCCUUUUUCCAAGUUCACCCGUGAAAUGCUGACCCACCCCCUCCCCCCAUUCUUGAGCAGCUCUCCAAAUGUUUAGAAUUAGUGGACUCUAAGUAUAAUCAGGGUCUUGGGUACUCAGACCCUACCCCAUGCGAUAUGCAUCGCUCUCACCCAAACAAAAUACUACUCUCGGGAGCCUGGUAGGAUGUAGACCCCUGAGCAAAGCACUUGGCAUUCAUUAUUACAUUAAGUCCUCAUAAGAACCAUAUGAAGUAGGCUCAGGAAGGUUAAACAAAUCACCCAAGGUCACAUAAGCCACACAAUGACAGAGCACUCCCUCCUGACCUGCAUUUCUGUUAACAGCAGAGACCAAUUUUUGAACACUUCUUCUCAAUAGCCCUUUCUUCAAGAACCUCCAAGGGAAACUGGACCUCAGUUCCUGCCAGGUGACCAGUCAGUUUCCGAAUGAUCUGAAUGAGUGGAUUUUAAGUGGUGAAGGAUAUUACGAGGCCAUGAGGGGGAAUUCCACGUUAGGUGUCCAUGCUACUACCACUUGGGGUUCACCCUCACAAACACAUGAUUGAAGGUGCCGCCUCAAGCUCCCAGGGUCAAAGCUGCUGGUCCCAAGGUCACGGUGUGACUAAGUACUCUGACUGUCUAGAUGAAGACCCUCCCAGUCUCUGAGCUCCCCGCUAUAAAACGAAAAGCGUGCAGAGAAAUACAAGCGAACACACUGGUGCCAGCCACAUGGCCAGACCCAGGGAAGCAGUGAGUAACGGAGAAGCAUUGCUCACCUGACUCCAGGCGCCAGCCUUCCACUUGGGGCAUCGUCCUCCUCGGCACUUUCUGUGCCCUUGGGGCUUAGCCAGGUGCUUACAGUAAUCACUUUCUAAAUGGCUUCCAUCUUUUGCCAUGCAGUAAACAUUUCGUUGCUUAUGCCCUCGACCACAAGAGACAGAACACUGCAAUAUAAAGCAAUGGCAAGGUUGUUGUUUUUUAAUCACAUGGAGUUCGAAAAAACCUGUGUUGUGAGAUGGUAAGAUCAUGCCUCACAAGAUCCGCUAUUCCCCCAUUUUUUUUUUUUUAAGACUUAUUUAUUUGAAAGGCAGAGCAACAGAGAGAGGGAGAGACAGACAGACAGACGUAGAGAUCUUCCAUCUGCUGGUUCAACUCCUCAAAUGGCUGCAAUGGCUGGGGUUGGGCCAGGUGGAAGCCAGGAGCCUGGAAUUCCAUCUGGGUCUCCCACAUGGGUGGCUGGGGCCCAAGUAUUUGGGCCACCCUCCACUGCUUUCCCAGGCAUAUCAGCAGUGAGUUGGAUCACAAGUGGAGCAACUGGGAUUUGAACCUGCAUUCCAACAUGGGACGCUGGCAUUGAAAGGAGCAGCCUAACGUGCUAUACCACAAGACCAGCCCUGCCAUUCCCCCAUUCCCCAUCACUAUUUUGGAUAAUAUCUCAAGGCUCAAUGUGAGAGGGAAGGUGACAUUAAAAAAAAGAAUGCCCACUUUACUGUAGCACCAGUCCUGGAUGGCAUGUGGAUUUAUUCACGACUGUGGGUAAAUCCUGGUAACUGAGCCAAUGACAAAGCUUAUGAACCUGAAAUUACCAUGCAAUUCUGAUGGGAAGAAGUCUUACUACGAAAUAGUAAGACAUUCCUUCACAAAAUGCCUCAUGAUUCACUGACUGGGAUGAAAAUACAUUUCCAAAAUACAACUGUGUCCAAUUUCUUAAUUAAAUGACUGAAGGAAACUUCUGAACCCUUUUCCAAGAGAACAAGCUCUCAGCUUUCCCAGUCCACCGGGGAGAGGUGAAAAAGGCAUGGUAGAAACUGAAAGGUAAGCUAGCAGGUAAGUCUGUGCCAAUUUGGGGAGGGAGGUAUUACCUUUCAACUUUGAUCUGCAGGUUCACUGGACUGUUUUAAAUGUGACCUUGUCUGACCACAUCUAAGAAAUUUGACUUUGAUUUCAGAUUAGGUUUCUCAGAAAGGUUUAGGAAUCAAAGUGCCCACGGAGUCUAGACAAAAAUUUGCUAUGACAGGCUGGCCCCAAUGAGUGCACUGAGAUAUUCAACAUCCAUUGCCUCAUUAGCGGUUACAGAAGUCAUUACCACUUGGAUCAUAAGCUGCUGGCUCCGGUUUUCAAGACACAUUAUUUCCCAAUAUGAUGUUCAUGCUUUUUGGAGGGAAAUGAGUUUAAGAAUGAAGAACAAAAUGCGAAAAUGCAAUGAAAAUAGAUUUCAAGUGUCAUUUCCUUCUAUUCAGUAUUUCUUAUUUCCCCCACUGACUUUGUGAUUUUGUUAACUUAAAUUACCAAAGUGCCCUUUUAUGCCUAAUAAAUAGAAACUUGUACAACAAGGAGACUAUUCCUAAUUCAACCACUAAUACCAAGCACGCUCAAAGUUACACCAUUCAUAAAUGUGCCAGAUAAGUUUUUCUCAUAAACACAAACUAUUAUAAAAAUGUAAAUAGUAGCUCGGAGAGAAAUUGAAAUUCAAAAUACAUAUAUUAAUUCUUUUAGCUUUAACUUUUCACUUUAGCAGGUGGAGACAAGGCUGUUUUCAUUUGAGCUCCCAUCUAAUGAAUGCUGUGAAUUGGAAUAGUCAUUGUGGAAAUCUUAGUAACAUACAAUAUGGAAGCAAGGCGCUCAGUUUGAAUAUCUAUGCUAAAACACAAACAUCCAUACUCAGCCUGCAGUGUUUUGAUGUAUAUAAAGACAUUGGGAUAUAAUUCUAGAACACAGUCCCUAGAAGUAUCCCUACAAAUCUCUAAGAGCGGUCUAAUGAGUUGCACAAAGAAAAUCCAUGUUAUCAGUGUCCAAUUUGAAUACUUAAAAAUUUUACUCCAACAAGAAAAAAAUAUAGCGGCACAACUAAAAUUCUGGAUGUGUUCAUCUGUGUAGUCAACACACAUUGCCUGAGCACCUACCAAGUUGCAGGCAUUACACACAGGACCAGAAAUAGAGUGAUGCAUAGAGCUGACAUCAUCCCUGCCUUCAGGCAGCUUACAGACCAGUGGAAGAAAGUACCACGAACCAAGUGAUGACAAAAAUAACCACAAGAUUAUUCAGAGAUGAGUACCAUGAAACAAAAAGUGUAGAGUGGUUGGAAGAAACAUUUUCUGGGGCUGGACCAGUCGGGUUUAUAGGCUGUAACAAUGAGUUUAGAUUUGAUUAUGCACAUGAUGAGAAAUCACUGAAGAGUUUUAAGGCAGAGCAAGACAUGACCUGAGUUCUGUCUCAAAAAUUCUACUUUAUUGAGUAGAGAUUGGAUGUGAAUACAGUGUGAGAAGAAACAAGAAAAACUACUUAGGAAAAUGACUACAUUUGUCCAGGCAAGAGGCAAGUACUGAACCAGGCACUCUGACAUGAGAGGGUGGCAUCUUAAGAGCUGGGCCCAAUGCCUAGCUCCAAGGUUGUUUUGGGGUAAUCAACUGAACAUGGAAGAACUUCCAGCAGGGCUACUUAUAGGACAGUCAUUUCCAUAUACAAACAGUGCAAAAAGCUCUCCCUCACUGUGGAGGUGGAAAAGGGAGUUGAUGCACACACUCAUGUAAGAAUACACUGUGGUCAUUAGAAGACACAGCCUACAAGUAGGCAACAAUCUCUAGAGGCAGAAGUAGCAAAGGCACAUCUCUGUCACAUUCAUUAUGUGUGAGGCACUGCCCUGAGACUUUAUAUGCAUUACUUCAUUUUAUCAUCCUAAUGAAUCAAUGGAACACACUAACAGAGAUGGGUCCUACUACUGGAGACAACUGGUGAUUUCAAAACAAUGUAACCGCAUGGUUUACGCAUUGCUUCCCAUAUGCCUCCAACACAAGUAGAUAUAUUUGUGUUCCUGUUGGCAUGAGAAACAUACAAUGACUAAUAGUUAAAUUAUGAACAUCCUCACCGAUGAUAAUUCAUCUGAGGUAUGCCACUGGUGCAGCCAACAUCCAUUAUUAAUGAAAUGGAGAUGCAUGAAUAUAUUUCUAAAUAUGAUUCCUUAAAAACCUUUUUCAUACCUGCACUCAGUGCAUCCCACCCAUUCCUAUGUGCACUUUUCUUAUGUGGGGACUUGAAUGGAACUGAACUGGAAAAAUGAAUGUGAUACUUCAUCAUGACUCAUUGCAUGUAUUAUUUGCCUGAAAUUAUUAAGAUCUAAAAGUGAUGAGGAAAUUCUCAAAGUACCUAAUCUGAGAGCAAACACUCUUCAUUGAAUGUUUCCUAACUUCCCAGUGGAAAAAAAAGCAGCUGCUCACGGAAAUGUGCAACUCUAACAGGUUUAUUAAUGAGCCUAUUAUGACUUCAUCAAGGAGCUGUCAUCUUGAUCAUCACACGAGCACCAGCUUCAAAUCCUCUCCCACAUUCUGUGGGACAUUUCCAGCUCAUCAUUUUCAGUCUUUGCCCAGGCAAAAGGCAAACAACCCAGCUUGCUGAAGAGAAGGAUUUUCCUCCAACUUUGAACAAGACUCCUAAACAACUGUAAUUGGUUCUGGUUACUGUGAAACACUGAAGUCAGCAUCCAGGAUGCCUGGGCCUGCAGGCUCUUGUUUAUAUGAAGCUGUGAAGGGGAUGCUGGAAUGUGGAGCCUUGUUCCAAGGAUUCGCUGACAACAGGUUAGAAAUAACAAGGACAGAGAGUCCAAGAGAAAUGUCAUGAACUGGAAUCCGCUACCAAGUGAAGUCAAGACCUUUGAAUUAAGGAUUCCUGGCAAUGAGGUGGCUAAGCAUCAUUUGGAGGAAGGAAGGUAAACAUUACAGUUUUCUGCCAUUGAGAGAGAGAAACAAAAAUGAGCAAAAUCUGCAAACGCACCCCCUGGGGAACUCCGCUGUAUCUGGAUCCAGAGUGCCCCCAGGAAUCUGAGGUUAUACCUGAUGACCAUUUGUAACCUGACUUCAGCAGAGCAAUCAUGCUGGCAUUUUUCAGGACAGAGGGAAGGAUGGUACAAGGAUCCGCUGCGUGCCACAGGAUUACUGAUGAAAGCAGCCUGGAAUUCUGGGAGGGUGGUGGGUGAGACAUCUGUUCUAGGAUUCUUGUUUCAAAGGUGGACUGUGAUGGAAGGCCUGGGCAAGAGGGUUCAAGGCUCCCUGGUGAUGCCAGUCAGCCAGCGAUGACAGAGGCAGGUCAGACCCUCUUGACAGAGCUAUGCUACCAUGAGAGGCAGCCAGGGGAGACCUGGGAAGCUUAAGCUACCACUGGGAAUGCUUCUGUAGAAAAGCAAUCCAUGAAGUUUAUCUCUGAACUCCCAUGGACCUGACCAGCGUCCACUCCUUGAAUCAUGUCCUCCUCCCGACUGUGCCAAUCAGUCCUUUGGAAGACACUAGGGAAGAGUUCGUUUCAUUGCCUCCUUCACUCUUCGCUUCUCUGCCUGUCUGGCCAUUCACCCACGAGUUGAGUGUGCAGACAGCAUCUUCACAGGCCAGCACAAUAUAGCAUGCAGUCAUUAGCUCUCUGUGUCUGAAGACUUUUUACCUACGGAUUCAACCAACCAAGGGUAGGAAAUAUCUGGGGGAAAAUGGCAUCUGUACUACUUGGAAAGACUCUUUCCUUGUCAUUUUCCCAUAAACAAUAUAGCAUAACAGCUAUUUAUAUAGCAUUUACAAAAUAGUCGAUAAUAUAAGGCACCUAGAGAUGACUUAUAAUAUGUGGAAGGAUGCAUGUAGGUUCUAAGAAAAUGCUACAACAUCUUCUAUAAGGGACCAGAACAUUUGUGGAUCUUAGUAUGCACUGUGGGGGAUGCAAUGCCCCAGACCUAGUCCCUUGUGGAUACCCAGGGACAGCUUUAUUGAAAAAUUACAACUUAUGGGGGAAGCAGUUUAUGUCGUUAAUUGACUCUGGUGUUGAUCUAAAUGCCUCCCCAUAACUCAGAUGUGCAUAAAAAUCUGAGCCUGUAGCCAGAGAAAUGUAUCUCACUAGUGGGUAGAAUGGUCCCUUUAACCAUCAUUGAUUGAGGUGCUCAUCCUCCAACCCUGCACUGCUCUGCUGGGUGUUCAGCUAACACAGUCACUCUCGAUAUCCAUUAUGCAAGUCCUUUGCUUCUUGAAUUGUGUCCUGUUCCUGCCUACAUUUGGGUAAAGGAAUAGCUCAAAAGGACCACUAUGAAAAGAUUACAUGAGAAGAAGUAAAAACCAGCUAACAUGCAAGUGGCUCACAACAUGGAAGACCUGGCACUAGAAGUGACUGCAACCAUGUUUGACGGUUUUCUGUGAAGUUAACGGAUUCCUGCAUGGCCCUGAGAGUGAUUCAAACAGAAAUCCAAGGAUUGAGGCAGGAGAGUGUGGCAGCGAUGGACACAAUUUUAGAACCACUCAGACCUGGCUGAGCUAGUCCAAGCUCUUCCUUUGUUAGCUUAGGCAGAAUGCUUACUCGCAGCAAGUACUUCCAGUUUUGUUCAACACCUGAAUCUUUCUCCACAAAUCUGUUCUUCCUAUAUUCAUGCUCACUGCAGUUAUAGAAACACCAUCCUUCCACCUGCUGAGUCCAUAAAAUUAUCAUCAUUUUGACUCCUUUCUUUCUCUUGUAGCCUGUAUCCAAACACUCGCCUAAUCCUCCAGUAACACCUUGAAGAUCUAUCAGAAUCCUGGCACCUCUCACCACCUCCCCUGGGACCACUGUGGCAUGAGCCACCACAGUCUCUCAUUAGAGUUACUGCAGUGACUCCCAGUGGUACCCAGGAUUCCAUUUCUCAUCCUCUCAACAGCCUUCCUGGAACUCAGAAGCCAGAGUGAUCCUUUGAAAACAAAAUCAUGUUCCUACUCAACCGAGCGGCUUCCCAUCUCACUGAGAGCCAAGGCAAAGCGAGAAAAAAAAAAAAAAUCCCUCCAAGAACCCAACCCUGUCUUGGUUUUCUUUGCCCCAAAGUCUACUCUCACUGCCCUUUGUCCUCAGUUUCACUUGAAUUUCACAUCCUACCGCUCCUCCAUCCAUUUCAGUCACACAAUGUCUUUGCCAUUGCCAAGAUGGGUUGGACAAACGCCUCCCUCCAGAUCUGAACCUGCCAAACUCGCCUCCCGGAUACUGCCUUGCUUUUAUAUUUUCCCACCUCCUUGCUUGACUGGCAACUUCUUGCCAGAGACUGACUCCAAUCUCCUUAAAGUUACUUGUUCUCCUUCCCCUUCCCGAUCCCUCUUCCUUAACUUAGAUUACUCUGUCAUCAUCUCUGACGAUACAUACUGUACCCUUUCUGUUCUGUUACUUAGAAGUUGCCUCCUCUCCCCACUAGAAUGUGAGCCCGAAGAGUUCAAGGGCUUCUGUGUAUCAGCUUCCCUGCUCUAUGCCCAGUGCCUACAAUGGAGCCUCAUUUAUGAAAACAUUCACAUCCUUAUGGAGUGCACAAAUGAAUGCACGGCUGAGUGAAUGAACAGUUCCUAAGAGAACCUGGAGCCACUUAUCUCACAGGAAUAUUUAACGAUUAAAUAAACAUUCUGCACAAUACGCAGUUUAUGUAAGGAUCAAAUAAAUACCCCUACUGCUCUC